rnacentral:misc_RNA from 1 species
UUAAGUUCAGCGGGUAUCCCUACCUGAUCCGAGGUCAACCUGGAAAAAAAUUGAUUGGUGGUCGGCAGGCGCCGGCCGGGUCUACGGAGUGGGUGACAGAGCCCCAUACGCUCGAGGACCGGACGCGGUGCCGCCGCUGCCUUUCGGGCCCGUCCCCCGGGAGGGGGGACGGGGGCCCAACACACAAGCCGCGCUUGAGG